rnacentral:rRNA from 1 species
AUGCUCGGCCCCACCGAGGAGUUCGUCUGGACCGACGAGACCUGCCAGAUGGUCUACAACGAGUUCCAGGACCUCGUCGACCACGAGAUAGUGGGAGUGUCGGACUGUACUGAGUUGAAUUCUGCUGUUGUUACACUGCUGGGAGCUCCACUGUCGGAGUACACGCUUCGUCUGAUCGGCUCUGAUCUUGAGCACUACAUCCGCAAGCUGCUCUACGACGGGCAGGUCAAGUAG